GUCCGAGAGGACGGCAGCCAGCCGAACGUAGCCGAGGAGAGCUGAGACUGAGAUGAUCGUGGGCCGAACGCAGCCGAAGAGGAGCCGAGGCCACGACAGGCGCGCUCUCAGAAAGCCGAAGAGAGCCGAGCCUGAGAAGGCAAGCGUUGGCCGAACUCAGCCGAAGAAGAGCCGAGUGGAGCCGAAGAUUCAUGGAGUCACCUGUAGGGGCUGGCGCCCCCUGUCGGUGUAGCUUGCAGAUAUCAGGCUCCAUUCACGUCUCUUUUGAGUUUCCACAUCCCCUGGCACCCUAGCCUCAAGCUGCCAAAAAGCAAGGGAAGGGGAAGUAAGCCUAAGGAGCUUAAUCCCCCGACAUCGACAGUUGAAAAAGUUACUGGUCAAUAUUCCAAAUGCGCCAAGAGAUGUUGAUAUGUUGCCCAGGCUGGAGUGCAGUGGCUGUGGAAUAAGCAGAAUCAUUUACUGACUUCAGACCUCUGUUUGCCUCCCAAAGACUUCAAUACAAUAAACUAUUUUUAAAAA